UACAGAGGUGCCGAGCGUUAGGCGGAAUCACUGGGCUUAAAGCGUGUGUAGGCGGACUUCUAAGUACCUUGUGAAAUCCCACGGCUCACCCGUGGAACUGCUGGGUAUACUGGUCGUCUUGAGCCACCUAGGGGCGAGCGGAACAAAUGGUGGAGCGGUGAAAUGCGUAGAUAUCAUUUGGAACGCCAACGGUGAAAACAGCUCGCUGGGGGUGUGCUGACGCUGAGACACGAAAGCCAGGGUAGCGAACGGG
rnacentral:rRNA from 2 species